GCAGCUGGAUGGAUUUAAAACUUGUCAGAGCAUCUUGACCUAACAUUUAUAUUUCUGCAAUGUGCAAGCCAUGGACUGUAACCAACAAAGCCCUCAGAGAGCUUACACAGCUUCUGUAGGGCAAUGCUCAGGAAACAAAUGAAGGAUGAAGUUACUUUCCUAAACACUUCCAGUGGAUUGUGUGAUGACACUGCAUCAGUAUGAGAUGUUUCAUUGCCAUGUUGCAAAACAUUCCAUCAAGAUAGCAAAAAUACAUACAGGAUCCAAGUGAGAAGACAUCCAAAGGACCAGCUCCUACCUGGAAUAGAACAUUGUCAUGAGGACUGAAAACUGGCUAAUGGACAACAAGCAAAGAAUAACAAGAGCCUGAGCAUCUAGUUGCUGUGUAGACUUACCCUUUGUUCGAAGUCCCAGGACUCUGCUGGAGCCUGCUUACUCCUAGCAGUCUCUGUUCUCCCUGACUAUUUAAGUACUUAUCCACAGAGGAACAGUCAUUGGGCCAGAGAGAGAAGAGUGGAGUGAGAAUGCUUCUGCAGUCCAGUGAUUGGGGCACCCAUC